GUGAAUUCUGUUUUGGUCUCCAGGAGGUCAGCUGUGACAAUUAUUGACCUUUUUGUUCAUAGUGCGUGCUGUCCUGAUGGCUCAGGAGCCCUCAGGCUUGCUGGGAGCAGCAGGAAGAAAGAAUGUGUUUAACUUGCAAGGUGCUUAGAAGGGCUGCAAAUAGCUCCUCACUGUCACACCAUGCAUGUCUUGCCUGGUGCUAUGGGAACUCCAUGGGAACCCUGGUGACCAUCGUCUGUGCCCAUGACAACAGCUUUUGGUGUCACUGCUGCAGGGUGACACAGAGCCUGGGGGCUGUGAUGGAGGUGGAGCUGAGCAGCCUGAGACUUCUGGAAAUCAAAGCUGGGCAUGGACGUGCAUGAAGAAGCAUUUCAGAGCUGGAGCUGCCUGCUUGAGUGGUGUGAGAUCUGCUAAGGGCUGAGUCCUUGCUGCAGUUUGGAAUGUUGGAGAGGCUCUGGAAGCUGCCAAGCUGGUGGUGCCCCAGCAUCCUUCUGAGAUCCGUUCCUUUAGCAAAUGUGUCUGCAAUGGACCAGGAGGUUCAGGAGCUCCCUGGGAGGGGUGGUGGAGAGGAAGGGGCAAACAAACAGUGCUGCUGCAACACUGAGCUUAAUCACAAGUGGAAAAGGGCCAGUUGUUUAGUAAACAAACAAACAGAGUUUUGGACAGGAACUGGAGAGCGCUGCUGCUCUGCGUGAGCUUGCAGAAGAACCAGUUCUGCUCAGCUUUGGCUUUUGAAGAGAAGAAACAAUUGCUGGAGAAGCUCGGCUGGGCAGCAGGCUGCUGCACUGGGCUGCUGCAUUGGGCACAGUGUAGGAAAUGAAACACAGCGCUGUGUGGGAUCGCUGCCCUGGGCGAUGGGAGAACUUGGCUUUAAAAAAAAGCAGAGAUUUCUUUUCCCUCAUCCAUUUGUGCAGAAAAACCCUCUGAGUGGGGCGUGAUUUCCUCCCUUGGCUGAGAUCACCUGCCUCUGGCUACCAGCAGCCCAGGUGUCCAAAAUAAGACGUGAGCACUCAUUGUGUUUGUUGGGCAAAGCUUGCUCUUCCUCCAACCCAGGAGCAUGUUGGGAUGUGGUGCUGAGGGCUGCCCUGUAACAUGUGGGCAUUUUGGGCUGGAGGGCUGGGAGCAGCCUGUGGGAUCACAGAAUCACAGAAUGGCCAGGGUUGGAAGGGACCUCAAGGAUCAUGAAUCUCCAACCCCCCCUGCCACAAGCAGGGUCUCCAACCUCCCCAUU
rnacentral:lncRNA from 1 species